ACAACUGGGGGAUAGCCUGCCGAAAGGCGGAUUAAUACCGCAUAAGACUACAGAGGGGCAUCUCUUAGUAGUUAAAGAUUUAUUGGUUUUGGAUGGGGUUGCGUAGCAUUAGCUAGUUGGCGGGGUAAGGGCCCACCAAGGCGACGAUGCUUAGGGGACCUGAGAGGGUGAUCCCCCACACUGGCACUGAGAUACGGGCCAGACUCCUACGGGAGGCAGCAGUAGGGAAUAUUGGGCAAUGGGCGCGAGCCUGACCCAGCCAUGCCGCGUGCCGGAUGAAGGCCUUCUGGGUUGUAAACGGCUU
rnacentral:rRNA from 1 species